ensembl:lncRNA
AACUGUGUGUGUGUGUGUGUGUGUGUGCGUGCGUGUGCGUGUGUGUGUGUGUGUGUGUGUGUGUGUGUGUGUGUGUGUGUGUGUGUGUGUGUGUGUGUGCGCGUGUGUCUCUUUAAGUGGAGGCUGAGAGAUCAGCUGGAGAGAGUAAACCCGAGGAAGACAAAGAGAGACAGGGGGAGAAGAAGGAGGAUUCAGAGGAUGGUGCUGAGAGGGAGACGUGUACCGAGGAGAAGAUACCGGCUGCUCAUGCAGAUCAGGCACAGACGGAGCAAGAGAGAGGUAGGGGCAAUACCACUGCGUCAGGCCAGCCACAUGGGUCUCUGUAAGACUGCCAGAC